AUUGAACGCUGGCGGCAUGCUUUACACAUGCAAGUCGAACGGUAACAGGCCGCAAGGUGCUGACGAGUGGCGAACGGGUGAGUAAUGCAUCGGAACGUGCCCAGUCGUGGGGGAUAACGCAGCGAAAGCUGCGCUAAUACCGCAUACGAUCUAUGGAUGAAAGCGGGGGACCGUAAGGCCUCGCGCGAUUGGAGCGGCCGAUGUCAGAUUAGGUAGUUGGUGGGGUAAAGGCUCACCAAGCCAACGAUCUGUAGCUGGUCUGAGAGGCCGACCAGCCACCCGUGGACUGAGACACGGCCCAGACUCCUACGGGAGGCAGCAGUGGGGAAUUUUGGACAAUGGGCGCAAGCCUGAUCCAGCAAUGCCGCGUGCAGGAAGAAGGCCUUCGGGUUGUAAACUGCUUUUGUACGGAACGAAACGGUCCUGGUUAAUACCUGGGGCUAAUGACGGUACCGUAAGAAUAAGCACCGGCUAACUACGUGCCAGCCGCCGCGGUAACAC
rnacentral:rRNA from 1 species